AGUUGCAUUUGAUAUAUGACUUGUGCUAUAUAAAUAAAGUUUGAUUUCAACGUUUUGUGAUUAUGCACUUGUUCGACGGUCCCUACAUCCCUCCUCUUCUGGAAGCAGUUGGUGAUGUUUUCUGUGUCUCGUUGUAGUUUUUUCUUUGAAUUUUGAGCCAAAAGCUGUGCUAUAAAACAUAACAGCUGUGAAACGUGUGCUUCUUUAGGUUUUAUUGAAAUUUGACACCCUCGCCGAUGUCUGAAUAUUGAAUACCUAAUGUAAUCUCUAUGGUUUACGGUACACGCAGCCUACUUUUUUUACUUUCUCUUUCUACACUUGCACUUUACAAGAAAUCACGUGAUUAGAAAUAGGCUACAGUGUUCCCCAAGCCGGCAGUCAGGUCUGAAUAUGAUUUCCUGGAUAUGUUUUAGAAACUUUGCAAUUUUGUUGGCAUUAUGCAUUGGUCUGGGUAAGAGUUUCUCAUUAAUGGCAGUAAAGAAAGACCUUUGGCACUUCAUGUUGAUUGAGCUGUUUUACAACCAACUAAAAAAAAGGCUUUGUCACCUUGGUGUAUAUGUCCCAGCAUUUCCUUUUUAAAAAAAUAAGCUGUUGCACACACCGCUCUAAGAAGAUUAGUAAAAGUAAAGGCAAAAAAAGUGUGAAGCAGAAGAAUGACGAUUUUACAAAUUACUCAAUGACGAGUCGUACAAGAAUCCGUACUGCUUAAAUUUGAGUGUUCACAGGAAACGUUUGAUAACACUACGAUUCUGGAGUUGAAGAAAAAAAUAAUUGCUACGACUCUCAGGUUUGGACCCGGAGUCAAUACGUUUGAUUUUUGGAUCUAUUCAGCUGGAGGAUAUGAAAACGUUUUCUGAUUACGGUAUCCGGAACGGGUCUGUAGUGCACCUGGUCAGGAGAAUGUCGGGGAGCGGCGGCGAUCCGGAGCCUCGGGAGGUGGCCGGCACUGCGGCCAGGGCUGGGGACAGGCCUGGGGCCAGGCCUGGGGCCCAUCCGCUCGUGUGUAACGUGAUGUAACAGUCAAUGUCCCACGUCGUCUGCGAGAAACGUCCGCCCCCUUUGACAAGAACAUGGCUGCCAAUCUGACUGCAAGAAACAUCCGCUCCUUACGAAAAGAACAUGGCUGCCAAUCUGACUGCA